UUAAAGUUUUAUCCUUGCUUUAUUAUUCACUAAAUGAAUAUUUCACAUACUUUGCUUUUAAAUUACUAAUUAUUCCUUAAUGGAUUGUUAUUAAUAUUAUGGUAGUGAUUUUUAUUAUUUAUUAAUUUAUUUUAGAGAUAGUAAUUUAUAUACUUCUGGUUAAAAUCGUGCCAGCCGCCGCGGUUAAACGAAGAGAAGAAGUGAAUAUUAUUGGUUAAAUUGCAGUUAGUUAUUAUAUUGUUCUUAAUAAGAAUAUUUUUAGGUGAAAUUUAUAAUUUUUAUUUAAAGAUGAUGAGACGAAGCUGUGAAGUCUUUAAUAAAAACAAGGAUUAGAUACCCUUUUAUUUUGGAUGUAAAUAUUAACCUGGGUAGUAUUAGUUAAGUUCUUGAAACCCAGAGGAUUUGGCGGUACUUUAGUCUUUUCAGAGGAACCUGUCCCGUUAUCGAUAUUCCACGAGGCUUAGUUACUUACUUUUAUUAAUUUGUAUACCUCCGUCAUAAGAGUAUCCUUUUAGGGGGAUAAUAUUCUUAUUUUACCAAAUUUAAAAUGUCAGGUCAAGGUGCAAUUUAUAGGUAAGAGGAGAUGGGUUACAAUAAAAUUAUUUAUAUGAAUUGAAAUAUUUAUUGUUUCAUGAAGGUGGAUUUGAUAGUAAUUUUGAUCACUAAUCGAUUUGAUUUAAGCUCUAAAGUAUGCACACAUCGCCCGUCGCUCUCAUUAGUUAAAGUGAGAUAAGUCGUAACAUAGUAGACGUAUCGGAAGGUGUGUCUAGUAAGUA
rnacentral:ncRNA from 1 species